rnacentral:rRNA from 1 species
UACGUAGGGGGCGAGCGUUGUCCGGAUUCAUUGGGCGUAAAGAGCUCGUAGGCGGCUUGGCAAGUCGGGUGUGAAACCUCCAGGCUCAACCUGGAGACGCCACUCGAUACUGCCAUGGCUUGAGUCUGGUAGGGGAUCACGGAAUUCCUGGUGUAGCGGUGAAAUGCGCAGAUAUCAGGAGGAACACCGGUGGCGAAGGCAGUGAUCUGGGCCAGUACUGACGCUGAGGAGCGAAAGCGUGGGGAGCAAACAGG